GCAUAUCAAUAAGCGGAGGAAAAGAAACCAACAGGGAUUGCCCUAGUAACGGCGAGUGAAGCGGCAACAGCUCAAAUUUGAAAUCUGGCCUUCGGGUCCGAGUUGUAAUUUGUAGAGGAUGCUUUUGGCGCGGUGCCUUCCGAGUUCCCUGGAACGGGACGCCUUAGAGGGUGAGAGCCCCGUACGGUUGGACACCAAGCCUUUGUAAAGCUCCUUCGACGAGUCGAGUAGUUUGGGAAUGCUGCUCUAAAUGGGAGGUAAAUUUCUUCUAAAGCUAAAUAUUGGCCAGAGACCGAUAGCGCACAAGUAGAGUGAUCGAAAGAUGAAAAGCACUUUGAAAAGAGGGUUAAAUAGCACGUGAAAUUGUUGAAAGGGAAGCGUUUGCGACCAGACCUUUUCUUGGCGGAUCAUCCGGUGUUAUCACCGGUGCACUUCGCCAGGUUGAGGCCAGCAUCGGUUUUUGUAGGGGGAUAAAAGCCUAGGGAAUGUGGCUCCUUCGGGAGUGUUAUAGCCCCUCGCAUAAUACCCUUACGGGGACCGAGGACCGCGCUUUAUGCAAGGAUGCUGGCGUAAUGGUCGUCAACGACCCGUCUUGAAACACGGACCAAGGAGUCGAACAUUUGUGCGAGUGUUUGGGUGUUACACCCUCACGCGUAAUGAAAGUGAACGGAGGUGAGAGCCCUUACGGGUGCAUCAUCGACCGAUCCUGAUGUCUUCGGAUGGAUUUGAGUAAGAGCAUAACUGUUCGGACCCGAAAGAUGGUGAACUAUGCGUGGAUAGGGUGAAGCCAGAGGAAACUCUGGUGGAGGCUCGCAGCGGUUCUGACGUGCAAAUCGAUCGUCAAAUCUGCGCAUGGGGGCGAAAGACUUAUCGAACCAUCUAGUAGCUGGUUACCGCCGAAGUU
rnacentral:rRNA from 1 species